AAUUACAGCGCCAUCAACGAUGAAAAGUGCGUGAGAGAAAUUCAAGAUGUCAGCCCCCAUUGGAGACUUGUAAGUUGUAUGCCGAAGGGAAAUCUCACGAAUCAAACAUGGAAAGUACCAGCUACGUUUGUAUAGAAUGUGGAAAAUAUGCAUCAGAACUGUACAAGGUAUACAGUGGAGGAAUGAUAAAGAUUGCACAUUGUAAUCAUUGUACCAAAGUUGUUGACAAGUACGUUGAGUUUGAUCCAGUCAUUGUUCUUCUUGAUGCGCUGCUGUACAAGCCACAGGCCUACAGACACAUCUUGUUUAACACCAAGAGUAAUAUACAUUGGAAGUUGAGCAUUCUUUGUCUUUUGUGUGACGCUUACACCAAAUGGGCGCAGCGUUCAACGGUUAACCCAGCCACUGACCCCCUCGAUCGACAGUUCCUCUUCUUUGCCCUGCAAUGGCACUUCUAUGUCAUGUUCAUCAUUGCAGGACUCGAGCUGAGUUCCUUUCUCCUUGGUGUUGUGGUGCCAAUAAUUCUUCAGUCAAGAAUGACGGGAGCUCAAGACAACAGGGGGUUAGCGUUACUCCUACGGUCCUUACUUCUGUGUUGUAUGGGCAAACUUCUUGUCAUACCAAUGGUCAUCUGGAGUCAGACGGACAUCAAGACUUGUAUGUGGAUGACACGACUCUUUGUGUUUACUUCGGCUACUCAGGCCCUAAGGGGUAAGAUCAGUUACUGCUAUACCCAAUGGAGACACUGAGACGCUGGCAGAAGCAGCUACAUGUGUGCAUACUAGUCCUUUGCCACGAUCUUGCGCAUGCUCAGACCUGUACAUGUAUAUGCAUGGUCAAAACUACGCCUAUCUGCACAACUGGUAAAAACGAGCAGUACAAGUGUAUGUCUGCUGCCACCGGGGUUUCAGAAGUCUUCCGUUGUUACUGUUAAAGUGUGAAACUCUUUCAAAAAAAAUACUGACAAACUGUACCGUUAAACUCAUAACAAGGCAAUUUAAACUAUUCCAAGGUGACAUCAUUUCUGCAGUGGCAUUGUGGUACCAUUAUGUGCAUGUUCUCAAACAUGAAAGCAAAUUGCAGUGCCCUAUUUGCUGAAGAAGUAUUCAACGUGUGCACCAUCUGCCCAUAAGCUUGCUGCCACUGCCGCAGCCUCUAAUUUUGGUUGGCACAGGAGUCUAUACCUUUGUGAAAGCUGGCAUGAAGCAUGCCAAGUUGCCAGUGAGAAUAAGCAAUAAUUCCGUUGUGUGUGCCAAUCUAGAAUAGGCUGUUUCUGAAAUAACGCUGCAUCCAAAUCACUUGGCUACGGCUUGAAAUUACACACAACUCUAUGGUAACUAGCCACAACCACUACGAUAGACUUGUGCAUCAUUUGGACACAGCCUUAGAUGUGUCCAAAAGAUUUGGCUGUGGCUUCCAAAAACAGCUCACAGCUGUAGCCACUUGCCAUAAACAAGUUACACAAAGCCACAGCCUAAAGUUAAAGGCAUAGCCUGAGUAGCAAGCACAUAAUAGGAAGGCCUAGAAUCCGUUACCAGUUAUGUAGGCUAAUCCAAGGAGACGCCAUCAUAACGGUGCCACUGCACUAAUGCAUGCAAUUUUAGACAUAAUGCACACAUGCAUUUGGUAAAUCACGAUGCUCUAUUGGUCGAAGUGGCAUGUAAUGCACGGUACCACCUGUCCAUGAACAUUGUGCCACUGCAGUAAUGACCUCUAAUUCUGGUUGUUGAAUUACACCAUAGUUGUCACGUUCCUUAAUUUGCCACCUGUUGCAAAGUUCUGGGGUUUUAUCCACAGUAAAUGGCAAAAUUAGGGACCUAGCAACUGUAAGGUCACAGAUGUAGGCUUGGUUACACACAGCAUGAGAAAUACUCAUUGUAUGAAACAUGGCUGGUAAGUGCUCUUGCUAAGUAAAUAUUCUUUUGCACUAAGCCAAUUUUUGUGCUUAUCUACUUCAUGAAAUUGGCUUGCAGUGCCCUCAAGCCUCUUUAAGCAGGAAAAGUGGCAUUUUCAGAGCUGAAUAGCAGGAGUUCCAAGGUUUUUGAGGUGUGCCAGUAAUCAAUCAUAAUUCAUAUGCUGUUUUGGCUGGCAAGUGUUUUUGGUUGAAGGCAAUAAAUCUGCCAACUGUAUUUUUCCACGUACUUUCAGUUCUCCUGAUUGUGAACCAUCAUGCCAAAGGCUUAAAGCAGCACAAUAGCACUCAAGCCAUUUUCCUACAUGUGCAUCUAUUCAAGGCACUUGAAAACAACUGCACCAAUCAUGUGAUCCUGUGUGGACCCGAGAACAAAACUGACUAAUAUAAAGAUGGUUAUUUAAAUCUUGUUUGGACUAAGCCAGGUCUGAACAAGUGUCGCUCCUUUAUGGAAAAGCAUUUAGGGGUUGGAGUUAUUUCUGGAAAAAUGAAGAGGAACAGUCAAGGAAGCCAACAACAAAACCAACUUCAGUGUUCAGAGUGCAAGAAAAUUGAGUAUUCACCGAGUUUUCGUAACUACACAAAAACAAGAAAUGUCUACACAAGUAACGAGAAACUCAGGCACACUGCAGGCAAGUGGUUUCAUCCUGCUUGGGUUUGCUGCACAGCAUCUCUCCACCCAUCUGUCACC